UACGUAGGGUGCAAGCGUUAAUCGGAAUUACUGGGCGUAAAGCGUGCGCAGGCGGUUUUGUAAGACAGGCGUGAAAUCCCCGGGCUCAACCUGGGAAUGGCGCUUGUGACUGCAAAGCUGGAGUGCGGCAGAGGGGGAUGGAAUUCCGCGUGUAGCAGUGAAAUGCGUAGAUAUGCGGAGGAACACCAAUGGCGAAGGCAAUCCCCUGGGCCUGCACUGACGCUCAUGCACGAAAGCGUGGGGAGCGAACAGG
rnacentral:rRNA from 1 species